GUCAUCUUCAAUUGUCUCUACCCCGUGCUGCUCAGUGCUGGUGGUGGUGAAACGUUCCUCUCUUCUCUGCAAACAUGGCCAACUCUCCGGCCUCCGCCCAGCUCUCGCUCACAACCCACGGAAUUCUCUCUCUCUAUGCUUGUUCUAUUAGGUCAGUGAAGACCCUAGCCGUUUCUAGUCUACCCAAUUCGAGUUUUUCUCUAACCAGGAACGCCUUUGUCACUGGUCUUCCUCUAUUAAUAUGCAAAACUUCUCGCCCAAUGACUCUUGCCACUAAAGUAACAUCUGUUUCCAUAAGAUGCGAGCAAAGCACCAAGGGCAGCAGUUUGGAUGUAUGGCUUGGCUGGCUUGCUAUGGUAGGGUUCGCAGCGGCUAUUAGUGUUGAAAUUGCAAACGGCAAGGGAAUUUUGGAGAAUUUCGGCCUCACAUCUCCCUUGCCUACUGUGGCCUUGGUGGUAACAGCUUUGGUGGGUAUAUUAACAGCAGUGUUCAUAUUCCAAUCUGUCUCCCAAAGUUGAUCACUCGUUAGGCCAUUCUUGAUAUGUGUGGAAUAGAAUGUUGAUGGUUACAUUUUUAUUAAUCAUUUUGCUUCUUUUAUCCAAAUGACAGAGCCAAUACUUUGAGAAUGUACAAGUGGUUCCCCCAAUAUUUUUAUCUUUAAAUUUCUUGGGAGUUUUUCAAUCUAAAUGAUAGCAAGCAAUCAAUCAUCAAUCUUACUGUACAAUAAUACGGAAGCUCAGAAUCAGCCACUACACAUGUUGCAACAACCUUUUAUUUCAUGGUGAUUGUUCAGAAUCAGUUUCGUCGUUUCGAGUUUUUGUGACACGAUUCUUCAGAACGCAGUCCUGGUUCAAUUUCUUUGUCUCAAGAUUACUUUGUGGCAAAGUUCACAUAUAUGAUGUUCAGAUUCAUGUAUGUUGUGGGCGAUUGAGGUCCCCCUUUUGUCUUUUGUUCUUUCUUCAAGCUGAAGAUUGAUGGGUGCUGUUGGCACUAGGUCGAUCAACAUCUUGUCGAUCAAAGGUGAGUAGGUGACCCUCUUAUAACCAGGAGAAGCAACCGGAAAUAGAUGUCCUUGGUGAAGGGGGCUGCAAGCCUGCAAAGCAGGGUGAAGGGCUGAGUCACAACAAUGAGCUACAACUUCUCCUCCAGCAGAAGACACAUAAUCUGAAACUCCUUGAAGCACAACACAACGACGUUAAUUCCAAAGGGUUUGGAGCCUCAUCUAGCAUGAGGAAAGCUUCUUCAACAACAGAUAUUGUUGAGGAUUUGACUUCAAUUUUUGGAGACUGGCUGGGCUACUUUUACUUUCAAAGCUCCUGCAUCAACUGGGGAGUUCAAAGAGUUCGAAGGGGAAAGCGAAGAAAGACGAAGAGCUAGGCUGGAACUCCGCCAAAGGACACAGGAGUGUGCGGCAAAAACACUUACUGAGAAAAAUCAACAUGACCUUCAGGUUAAGCUACUAGAUGUUUGUUACGCAGUUUUUGCAAUGUACUGCCAGUCAACCUAUCGCUCACAGGUUAAGCUACUAGAGUUGCUUCUCAUGUUAAAUGGUUUAUACAUUUUUUCCUUAAUGAAAGAUUUAGUUCUCUUGCAGAAUUUUACAUGUAAUAUAUAAAGUGGUAAUGGUUAGGGUCUGUUUUUAAAGAGGGUGUUUUUGUCAUUUGUCAUGUUAUCUCUUGGUUAGGGUAUACUUUUUUAAGAGGGUGUUUUAAUAUUAUACCGUCAUAGAAGAGUCUCAUUUUGUAUAAAGUUAUAUUAUCAUG